rnacentral:lncRNA from 10 species
GGGGAAGGCUGAUGAGAGGAGAAGUUCCUCUCUAGGGAUCAUUUGGGGCAAACAAAUGAGAUCCAAGGGGAGUUCCAAUAUAGGAAAUAGGAGAGAAAUCCUAGGGCCCAGGAAAUUACAGACUCAUAAUUAGCUGGUCAAAGCAAUCAAUAGUCAUGUAGAUUGUCAUUUGCUUGCAAAUUGCACACCUGGGGUCCCUUAGAAAAACUUGGCUUCAAGACUUAAGUUGCUGCUUCUGAAAGUAAUGAACAAUACUCUCUGUUCUGUUACUCAUUACAGUAUCAGUCCCCAAAUCCUUGGUCUUUGCAUUCCAACACAAAGUAAAAAGGAUUGAGCAGGGUUUUGGUUUUGGUUGCAAGUAACAGAAACCCAACGCUAAUUAAUAAACGGGAAAGUGUGUCAGUGGAAAUGUAAGUAAGAAGAGAUUUCAUUUACUGGCCAAUUCAAAAGAUGACAAGCUUUAGGCGUGGCUCAGUCCAGUGGCUCAUGAUGUCUUCAGGACUCAGUGUUUCUCUGUUGUCAUCUCUUAGUUCUAUUAUUUUUUCUGUGUUGGUUCAUUAUGAGGUUUCCUUUAGAGGGUGGCAGAGAAAGCCACUAGUUGCUUCAAGUCUUUAUUUUACCAGCUCCACAAGUCCGACGGAAAGAGAAAACUGCUUUCCCAAAGGGUGUAAGAGGAUGAAAGGCAUGUCAUCAGCUGAAUUGCAUCAGGUGUCCAUCUUGGAAUCAAUCACGGUGCCUCUUAUUAGCAAAGCCUGAGUCAUAGGAACUGGACUCUGCUACCAGAAUGAGCUGCAAGGGAGAUUCUUCCUCAGAAGCUUCAGAUAAGAACUCCACCUGGCUGACCUUUGAUUUUGGUUUUGUGAGAACUUUGGCAGAUAACCCAGGCAUGUGUCAUUUCACAUCUGCAUAAAAAGACAUGCUGAAGGAUGUUCCUUGCAGAAUGGUUAUAGAGAAAAAUGGGAAUAACCACGAUAUAAAGUAACAGUCUGCUAUUUUAGGAAGUGGAUAAAAUGGCAUUUUGACAGAUCUGGAGGGUCUUGGAUCUACCUUUCAACAUUGGCAUUACUGAUAUUAGAGUACCACCACUCACUAGCUGUGGAGAUGUAGGAAGAUUACUUAACCACUCAGAGCCUUGGUUUCCUCAUUUGUUAUGUGAAGAUGACAAUAUCAGAUGACAGUGAGAUCUGAGAUGAAUUUAACUGCCUUCAGUAGUGCUGGCCUGCUCCUGAGAGAGAGAUGAUUGAGAGGGAGGAAGUAGAGAGGAGGAAGAAGCCUUUACUCACACUCCUUGAGGAGUGAUUCAGGUGGACAGCCUGAAUUACGGGAUUUAUUGGCAGCAAGUAAGUAUUGUCUGAGUGGAUUACUGCAAAAUGCUUUAGCUGGGGAUGGCUUUGAAAACCACUCAUCAAUUACAGAUGGUACCCAGUAUAGCAGCAGGAGUACCCUUGCGGGCUUUUGUUAUCUCCGACCUCUUCCUUCAUGGGUGACCGUUCUAACCCAAAGACCUCAACUGUUCAUCAAAAACCUGCCACUCAGAACUGCAUAUCAAUUAUUAAACAAUGUCCCAUGCAGGACAGUGACUUUAAAUUAUCUUGGAAAUGAUAAAGACCAACAUUUGUCUUUGUUAACAUGCUGAGUGAUUCUGUGGUCUCUAGUCACAGGUGAAAGGAUCAGAUUUGAGAUUUCUAGACACCAGAAUCACAUUAGGGUUAAGCAAAACUCCAUCUUUUCCCAGAGAAAAUUUAGCCAGAAAUGUUGCUUAUUUGAGAUGAGAAGUAAGAUGAAGUGUUCUAACAUGGCGGAGCUUGAUAUGCAAAUGAGCCCAUCUAGGGACAGUAGGGAUUGGUAAUGUGGGUCUGUGGAUGCCUGGAAGGCUCACAGAAAGACUUCAGGAAUUCCUGAGUCUCUUCAAAGUGUAAGCAAAAUUUUGUGUGUAUUUUCUUAUUUGCAUGAUAUGGCUUGGCUGUGUCCCCACCCAAACCUUAUCUCGAAUUGUAACUCCCACAAUUCCCACAUGUCGUGGAAGGAUCCUGGUGGGAUUCAUUAUGGGGGCAGGUCUUUCCAGUGCUGUUCUCAUGAUAGUGAAUGAGUCUCACAAUAUCUGAUGGUUUUAAAAACAGGAGUUUCUUUGCACAAGCUCUCUUUCUACCGCUGCCUCCAUGUAAGAUGUGACUUGCUCCUCCUUGCCUUCCACCAUGAUUGUGAGGCCUCCCCAUCCACGUGGAACUGCGAGGCCAAUUGAACUCCUUUCUUUUGUAAAUUGUCCAGUCUCAGGUAUGUCUUUAUCAGCAGUGUGAAAAUGGGCUAAUACAGUGCAUUUAUUUUUUUGAAGCAUGUCCAUACUUUCCAUUGGAUUCUCAAAGGGAUUCAGGACCUGGAAACUUUUUGAAAUACUGCUCCAUAGUAAAUGGCACAAAUCUCUCUGAAUCAAGGAUGUCUCUAGCCUUAGGCAAAGCUAGGUUGAAGGACAGAACAGAGAGUCAGCCUCUGGAGUGCCCUCUAUAAGGAAAAAGAAAACAUUACUAGAGUAAGUUGAUAAAGUAUAAAUUCAUCUCACUCCUACUGGACACUGCCCUUGAGUGAAAUUAAAAACUGAAAAAUUUUUGACAUAUCUUUUGAGCAUUUUUGUAAAAUACGCAUGUAGCUAUGGCCAAAAUUCUGGAAUAAAAUGGUACAUAUAGCCUUAGGUAUCCUGGCUCUGUUUCUUAAAGGAGUCAUAUUUACAGAAUUGCAGUUGUCCAGGUGCAGUGGCUCACGCCUGUAAUCCAAACAAUUUGGGAGGCCCAAGCAGGUGGAUCACUUGAAGUCAGGAGUUUGAGACCAGCCUGGUCAACAUGGUGAAACCCCAUCUCUAGUAAAAAUACAAAAAAAAAAUUAGCCGGGCAUGGUGGCGGGCACCAGUAAUCCCAGCUACUGGGGAGGCUGAGGCAGGACAAUUGCUUGAACCUGGGAGGCAGAGGUUGGGAGGUUGCAGUGACCCUAGAUAGCACCAUUGCACUCCAGCCUGGAUGACAGAGCGAGAUUCCAUCUCAAAAAAAAAGAAAGAAAGAAAGAAAGAAUUACAGUUGAUUAGCCACAAAUAAUUUCUAAAAUGUUUUUGCUCACAUCUCUCAUAAAAAUAAAAGAAUAUCCAUGUCCUGUCUUAUUUCUUAUAGCUGCCAGUACACCCCCCAGUUUCCUCUUAUAACUGUUUCAUCCAGAAUCCUUCACAUGGUUACCCUUCACUUUCUCUAUUCCAGUCCAGGUUGCUUAUUUUCUUUUCUCUGGCCUUCUCCCUGUUGCUUUGCUCUUCAUCGUGUAGAUUGAUUUAGUUGUUUUGGCUCAGUCCUUCCUUCUGUCUUCUGUUUCU